rnacentral:lncRNA from 1 species
ACCCCUUUUUUAUAAAUACAUUGAGUAAAUCGUGGCCAUCGGAUUAAAAACAGUUUGGACGCUCAUGAUUGCGCCACGUCAUUAGUCAACAAUACGCGGUUUGACCACGCGGGUGAACAGUAACACGGUUUGACCCUGGUUGAACAGUGACGCGGUUUGAUUGCAAAUAAUCUUGUGUAAUGCAUGUACUGUACGUGAGAUUUUUGGUCCACUGAUAUGCUGCCACGUCAUCGAUCAACAGUGCAUAAGAAUUUUAGUCCAACAGGAUCGUGACACCUCAUUAGUCAAUGCCACAUCAUCGAUCCGUCUAUGUGAACAGUGUCGUGAACAGUAACGUAGACAGUACCGUACAUGUGAACAGUGCCAUUUUUCCUUUUAUGCUCCUCCUAAGGUUUUCGACCGUCUUGAGUUCAAAAGUGAUGCCCGUUUUGCCGUCUGAUCUCUCGUUCAUUAUGAAAUGACUAUGAUGCCCCUAAAAUACAUAAAAUACUUAAUUAAAAUAAAACACACAUAAUUAAAUUACAAGAAGCUUAAAUACAUAAAAGUAAGGAUUGUUAGUAAGGCUUGAAAUAUAAAAUGACAAUUUUCUCCUUUAUAAAUAUGCAUUUUCUAACACUCAACACAUAUCAAUUUAGAUAUUAAUCAACCACAACAACCAUAACCAUAAUUAUUACAUAAUUGCACCAUUUUCUUUAAGACCAAAGAAAUAUAGAGGCAGUACCACCCAUAGAGUCAAAGGAUGCAAACCUCAAGGUAUUUUAAUUUCACUCAUGUAGCAACAGAAACCAAAAGCUUCUUUUGUGAUAAUAGUGGUUUCAACUCUAUGGCCACAUCUGUAACUGUAACAAGUACAUAAGACGUAUUAGAACCUACAAAUUUAAAUAAAAAAAGAAAAAUAGAAAAAGAACCAGGACCACUACCAAACAUUAAAAAUAAUUAUUUAAGGAACCACUGGAUCUAUAUAUAUUCCAUGGCUAAAAUUUAAUUAGGUUCCAUUAGAAUAACACCGCAUCUAAAACCAUCACAUGCAUUACCACUUAAAAUCAACCAGGGAUUUAACAUUGCAGAUUAAAAAAUUGAGUGAGGCUUUUGAUUAACAUACUUUUUCUCCUUUUUCUCUUUCUUCUCUAAUAUCAAUUGGUGACAACAAAUGAGUGCCAGUGCUAAAGGCUUGGCAAUUGGAGAGCUUCUUUAAAUUCGUAAUGGGUGCUGUGAUGUGCUUCAUUCAAUUGAUUUUCUUCAGUUGGGUGAUUAGGUUUUCAUCAAUUGUGUGAAAAAGAGGGCGUAGCAGUGCGCGAUGCUUCUUCUGUGCUUGAGAGGUGGAGAACGAAAAAGAAAAAAAAGGGCUGCAAUCGUUGCAAAGCAAAACGAUGGCAUUUUGCUUUUCUUUUUAGUUUAAAUUAUUCAAUUAAAAAGGCUUUCACUCGUUCCAACUUGAGGCAAAACGGUGGUGUUUUAUUUUAAUUUAAAUAAUUAAAUUGAAAAGGACAUUCACUCGUUCCAAAGCAAACGAUUGUGGUUUUUUUAAUUAGUUAACAAUGGCAAUCUUGUAAAUAAAUUAAGUUAUACAUUAACGAAAUAUUUUUAAAUAAU